rnacentral:rRNA from 1 species
UACAGAGGGUGCGAGCGUUAAUCGGAAUUACUGGGCGUAAAGCGUGCGUAGACGGUUAUUUAAGUCGGGUGUGAAAGCCCCGGGCUCAACCUGGGAACCGCGCUUGAGACUGGAGAACUAGAGUUCGGGAGAGGAUGGUGGAAUUCCCAGUGUAGAGGUGAAAUUCGUAGAUAUUGGGAAGAACACCGAUGGCGAAGGCAGCCAUCUGGACCGACACUGACGCUGAGGAGCGAAAGCGUGGGGAGCGAACAGG